CCCUUAGAUGUCCUGGGCUGCACGCGCGCUACACUGAUGUGUCCAGUAAGCACCUAACCUAUUCCGAGAGGAGCGGGUAACCUUAGCAAAGCACAUCGUGAUGGGGAUAGAUUAUUGCAAUUAUUAGUCUUGAACGAGGAAUUCCUAGUAAGCACAAGUCAUCAGCUUGUGUUGAUUACGUCCCUGCCCUUUGUACACACCGCCCGUCGCUCCUACCGAUUGAAUGUUCCGGUGAGCUCUUCGGACUGCGCGGUCUGCAGUUUCUGCGUUCCGUGCGGAAAGUUGUGCAAACCUCAACAUUUAGAGGAAGGAGAAGUCGUAACA
rnacentral:rRNA from 1 species